GAUGAACGCUGGCGGCGUGCCUAAUACAUGCAAGUCGAGCGAACAGACGAGGAGCUUGCUCCUCUGACGUUAGCGGCGGACGAGUGAGUAACACGUGGAUAACCUACCUAUAAGACUGGGAUAACUUCGGGAAACCGGAGCUAAUACCGGAUAAUAUAUUGAACCGCAUGGUUCAAUAGUGAAAGACGGUUUUGCUGUCACUUAUAGAUGGAUCCGCGCCGCAUUAGCUAGUUGGUAAGGUAACGGCUUACCAAGGCAACGAUGCGUAGCCGACCUGAGAGGGUGAUCGGCCACACUGGAACUGAGACACGGUCCAGACUCCUACGGGAGGCAGCAGUAGGGAAUCUUCCGCAAUGGGCGAAAGCUUGACGGAGCAACGCCGCGUGAGUGAUGAAGGUCUUCGGAUCGUAAAACUCUGUUAUUAGGGAAGAACAAAUGUGUAAGUAACUAUGCACGUCUUGACGGUACCUAAUCAGAAAGCCACGGCUAACUACGUG
rnacentral:rRNA from 1 species